rnacentral:rRNA from 1 species
UACGUAGGGUGCGAGCGUUAAUCGGAAUUACUGGGCGUAAAGCGUGCGCAGGCGGUUCGAUAAGUCGGGGGUGAAAACCCGGGCUCAACCCCGGCCGUCCUCCGAUACUGUCGGACUGGAGGCAGGUAGGGGAGAGUGGAAUUCCCGGUGUAGCGGUGAAAUGCGCAGAUAUCGGGAGGAACACCGGUGGCGAAGGCGGCUCUCUGGACCUGUCCUGACGCUCAGGCGCGAAAGCUA